rnacentral:rRNA from 1 species
UACGGGGGGAGCAAGCGUUGUUCGGAUUUACUGGGCGUAAAGGGCGCGUAGGCGGCGUAACAAGUCACUUGUGAAAUCUCCGGGCUUAACUCGGAGCGGUCAAGUGAUACUGUUGUGCUAGAGUGCGGAAGGGGCUACUGGAAUUCUCGGUGUAGCGGUGAAAAUGCGUAGAUAUCGAGAGGAACACCUGCGGCGAAGGCGGGUAGCUGGGCCGACACUGACGCUGAAGCGCGAAAGCUAGGGGAGCGAACGGG